rnacentral:rRNA from 1 species
AUAUUGGACAAUGGGGGGAACCCUGAUCCAGCCAUGCCGCGUGUGUGAAGAAGGCCUUUUGGUUGUAAAGCACUUUAAGCGAGAAGGAGGCUCCCAGUAUUAAUACUACUGGAGAGUGGACGUUACUCGCAGAAUAAGCACCGGCUAACUCUGUGCCAGCAGCCGCGGUAAUACAGAGGGUGCAAGCGUUAAUCGGAUUUACUGGGCGUAAAGCGUGCGUAGGUGGCCAAUUAAGUCAAAUGUGAAGUCCCCGAGCUUAACUUGGGAAUUGCAUUCGAUACUGGUUGGCUAGAGUAUGGGAGAGGAUGGUAGAAUUCCAGGUGUAGCGGUGAAAUGCGUAGAGAUCUGGAGGAAUACCGAUGGCGAAGGCAGCCAUCUGGCCUAAUACUGACACUGAGGUACGAAAGCAUGGGGAGCAAACAG